rnacentral:rRNA from 1 species
GACGUAGGGGGCGAGCGUUGUCCGGAUUUAUUGGGCGUAAAGAGCUCGUAGGCGGCUCGUUGCGUCGGCUGUGAAAACCCGCAGCUCAACUGUGGGCUUGCAGCCGAUACGGGCGGGCUGGAGUUCGGUAGGGGAGACUGGAAUUCCUGGUGUAGCGGUGAAAUGCGCAGAUAUCAGGAGGAACACCGGUGGCGAAGGCGGGUCUCUGGGCCGAUACUGACGCUGAGGAGCGAAAGCGUGGGGAGCGAACAGGAUUAGAAACCCGAGUAGUCC